rnacentral:rRNA from 1 species
UACGUAGGGUGCAAGCGUUAAUCGGAAUUACUGGGCGUAAAGCGUGCGCAGGCGGUUAUGUAAGACAGAUGUGAAAUCCCCGGGCUCAACCUGGGAACUGCAUUUGUGACUGCAUAGCUAGAGUACGGUAGAGGGGGAUGGAAUUCCGCGUGUAGCAGUGAAAUGCGUAGAUAUGCGGAGGAACACCGAUGGCGAAGGCAAUCCCCUGGGCCUGUACUGACGCUCAUGCACGAAAGCGUGGGGAGCAAACAGG